UACGUAGGGUGCAAGCGUUGUCCGGAAUUAUUGGGCGUAAAGAGCUCGUAGGCGGUUUGUCGCGUCUGCUGUGAAAACUCGGGGCUUAACCCCGGGCCUGCAGUGGGUACGGGCAGACUAGAGUGCGGUAGGGGAGAGUGGAAUUCCCGGUGUAGCGGUGAAAUGCGCAGAUAUCGGGAAGAACACCCGUGGCGAAGGCGGCUACUCUGGGACGGUACUGACGCUGAGACGCGAAAGCGUGGGGAGCGAACAGG
rnacentral:rRNA from 1 species